AUUGAACGCUGGCGGCAUGCCUUACACAUGCAAGUCGAACGGCAGCACGGGUGCUUGCACCUGGUGGCGAGUGGCGAACGGGUGAGUAAUACAUCGGAACGUACCUUAUCGUGGGGGACAACGCAGCGAAAGCUGUGCUAAUACCGCAUACGCCCUGAGGGGGAAAGCGGGGGAUCGCAAGACCUCGCGCGAUUAGAGCGGCCGAUGCCUGAUUAGCUUGUUGGUGGGGUAAAAGCUCACCAAGGCGAUGAUCAGUAGCUGGUCUGAGAGGACGAUCAGCCACACUGGGACUGAGACACGGCCCAGACUCCUACGGGAGGCAGCAGUGGGGAAUUUUGGACAAUGGGGGCAACCCUGAUCCAGCAAUGCCGCGUGAGUGAAGAAGGCCUUCGGGUUGUAAAGCUCUUUUGUCAGGGAAGAAACAGCAGCUCUAACACAGUCUGCGAAUGACGGUACCUGAAGAAUAAGCACCGGCUAACUACGUGCCAGCAGCCGCCGUAA
rnacentral:rRNA from 1 species